AGUGAACGCUGGCGGUAGGCCUAACACAUGCAAGUCGAACGGCAGCACAGUAAGAGCUUGCUCUUACGGGUGGCGAGUGGCGGACGGGUGAGGAAUACAUCGGAAUCUACUUUUUCGUGGGGGAUAACGUAGGGAAACUUACGCUAAUACCGCAUACGACCUACGGGUGAAAGCAGGGGAUCUUCGGACCUUGCGCGAUUGAAUGAGCCGAUGUCGGAUUAGCUAGUUGGCGGGGUAAAGGCCCACCAAGGCGACGAUCCGUAGCUGGUCUGAGAGGAUGAUUAGCCACAAUGGAACUUAGACACGGUCCCGACUCCUACGGGAGGGAGCAGUGGGGAAUAUUGGACAAUGGGCGCAAACCCUGUCCAGCCAUACCGGGUGGGUGAAGAAGGCCUUCGGGUUGGUAAACCCUUUUUUUGGGAAAGAAAAGCAGCAGGUUAAUACCCCGCUGUUCUGACGGUACCCAAAGAAUAAGCACCGGCUAACUUCGUG
rnacentral:rRNA from 1 species